rnacentral:misc_RNA from 1 species
UGUGGAUGUAGCACUGCUAGCACAUACAAUACUAUCAGCUUCAUUGUCUGUGGUUAUGGGUGUAGAAGAAGUUGUACGUAUUUUUGCUCCUUUCAUAGGAACUGCACAACUUAUUUUGAUGGCUCCUCCCCAUNNNNNNNNNNNCAAUCUGCUGAUCCAACUUUAGUGCCAUCAACAAUGAGAGAUUGUCAGAAAAAUCCACAUGGGCAUAACCUCGGAAUUCCCCUGUUUCUUUGUCUGUACCCCAACGUAUAGAUGAUAUAUUGCAAUCAGAGAAAAAUUUCUUCAGGUCAUCCUCAGUUAUAUCCCAUGACAAA